rnacentral:rRNA from 1 species
CAAAGGCUUGGUCCUGACUUUAGUGUCCACUCUAACUAAACUUACACAUGCAAGUAUCCGCCCCCCUGUGAGAAUGCCCACAACUCCCUGCUUGGGAACUAGGAGCCGGUAUCAGGCACAAGCCCAGCUAGCCCACGACGCCUUGCUUAGCCACACCCUCAAGGGACCUCAGCAGUGAUAAAUAUUAAGCCAUAAGUGAAAACUUGACUUAGUUAAGGUUAAGAGGGCCGGUAAAACUCGUGCCAGCCACCGCGGUUAUACGAGAGGCCCAAGUUGACAAACAACGGCGUAAAGAGUGGUUAGGGGAUUUACUAAACUAGAGCCGAACGCUUUCAAAGCUGUUAUACGCACCCGAAAGUAUGAAACCCAAUUACGAAAGUAGCUCUACUUAUCCUGAACCCACGAAAGCUAAGAAACAAACUGGGAUUAGAUACCCCACUAUG